CGUUGAAAUACCGAUUCCCUUAUGAUCACCGAAGUUAAGCAACGUCGAAUGUGGUCAGUACAUAGAUGCAUGACCGCUUGGGAAUACCAGGUGCCAUA